CAAAAGAAGUGAAAUUUGGGGUUUCAUUGGUGUUCUUGAGAAAGGUUACACUCAAUAUACGCGUACCCACACAUCGGAUCUUUUUCGUACUGGGUACAAGCACUGUGUACAUAUACAAAUAAUUUUACAGGUUACCCGUCAGGUGAUCAGAGCCGGGCCCCACUGUGAAGUUUCCAUUUGAGGACUGGUGGGUCCCUGGCGAAUUCGAGCACGGUGCCGAUUGCACUUGUGAGGAUUGUGCUGCAUGACAACUGUGACUCCUGAGUGAUUCUUUUGAUUCUUUUUUAUGUACUUCCUUUUUGUUACUUGAUGCUUAAAUUGUUAUAUUUUGUAUAUAUAUCAUGCCUUUGGACCCAAAUGUGUGUAAACUUUAUAACUCAAUUUGGGUAUCAAAUAUUUGGGGAACAAUUACAAGUAUUGUAAUGAACAGGUCUUCUGCUGAAAAUACAGGUCUAAUCUUAGAUUAGUAGA